UUUGAUUUUUUCUGGCAUUUCGAACACUAAGUCGUGGUUUCAGUUCUUCGGUAAUGGAUUUACCAUUCAUGUCUCGCAUCAAUUCGAAGACAUUAUGGAGGGUUACAGUGCUGGGUUGUCAUUCUAUGGAGAUAAGGCAAAGCCCAAGACUUAUGCAGCACGCUUUGCAUGUCAUGAUUUAUUGGAAGUUUGAGUGUUGUAAUUCGCCCAUCCAAUCAUCUGCAAAUCACAUUCUUUGAAG